AAGUUGUUGCGGUUAAAAAGCUCGUAGUUGGAUCUGUGUGACACGCUGUCGGUUCACCGUUUUGAUGGUGUUUAACUGACAUGUCGUGGCACGUCCUGACGGUUGGCAGUGUUCUCUCUCGGGAGUAAUGCUUGCCAGUUCCAAUCCUGUCGCGGUGCUCUUCACCGAGUGCUGAGGCGGGCCGUCACGUUUACCUUGAACAAAUUUGAGUGCUUAAAGCAGGCUUAUAUUGCCGGAAAACUGUGUGCAUGGAAUAAUAUAAUAGGACUUCGGUUCUAUUUUGUUGGUUUUCAGAAUCCGAGGUAAUGAUUAAAAGGGCCUGGCGGGGGCAUUAGUAUUGCGACGUGAGAGGUGAAAUUCUUGGACCGUCGCAAGACUAACUGGAGCGAAAGCGUUUGCCAAGAAUGCUUCCAUUAAUCAAGAACGAAAGUUAGAGGUUCGAAGGCGAUCAGAUACCGCCCUAGUUCUAACCAUAAAUGAUGCCAGCCAGCGAUCCGUCGUUGCUCUUUUAUGACGCGACGGGCAGCUUCAGGGAAACUAAAGCUUUUGGGUUCCGGGGGAAGUAUGGUUGCAAAGCUGAAACUUAAAGGAAUUGACGGAAAGGCACCACCAGGAGUGGAGCCUGCGGCUUAAUUUGACUCAACACGGGAAAUCUCACCAGGCCAGAACACCAGGUGGAUUGACAGAUUGAGAGCUCUUUCUUGAUUUGGUGGG
rnacentral:rRNA from 1 species